rnacentral:misc_RNA from 1 species
UUUCCGUAGGUGAACCUGCGGAAGGAUCAUUCAUAAUAAAGUGUUUUAAGGCACUUUUUAAAAAUCCAUAUCCACCUUGUGUGCAAUGUUAGAUCUCGUCAAUCUUGGCGAGAUUUUUAUACAUCAACUCAUUCUUUAACUAAUUUGUCUGAAAAAUAUUAUGAAUACUUAAUACAAAAUACAACUUUCAACAACGGAUCUCUUGGCUCUC